rnacentral:lncRNA from 1 species
UUACUUUGUUAAGUAAAAAUAUAUUUUUUUAUAGUUAUUUUUUUAUAAUUAAAUAAAUUUUUAAAUAUUUCUUGACUCCUCCCAUUAAGAGGAAUAAAAUUUUAAUUUCAGUAAAAAUGAAAAAACUCGAAAACCCGAUAAGCUAAAAAUCUCAAAAAAAAUCCAACCCAGACUAGAUUAUGAUCGGAAAUUAAUUUUUACAUUUUGUUUUUGUAAAUAUGUACAAUUGUUUUAGGGAUAAUUGGUCAAAAAAAUUUAAGCAGUUUCAUUCUAGUAAAAAAUUAAUUUAAAAUAUAUUUAAGGUUAAGGUCCUUAAAUGUUGUUUGAUGUCAUUUAUUGCCCUGAUAAAAGAAAUUUACCCCGGGACAUUAAUUUUAAGUUAUCUUUAUACUAAAUUGAAAUUAUUUUGAAAUUUUUUGGAUCAAUUAUCCUAUUUUUUAUUGUGUAAUUUUUUUAUUAAUUUAUUCAUGAUUCAUUUUUGUGCAAAUUAUACUCAUUGUUCAUAAUUUUUGCACAUGAAAAUAAAAAAAAUAUUUAUUUUUAUAAAAAAUAGAGUGUGAAGGAACUAUUGGAUUUUUUUCAAUUCCAUCAAAUUGCUAACUACUGUCCGUUUCCAUGCGGCGUGGUGAUAUAUCACAUAACAUUAAUCCAACACAUUAUAUGACACUUUCUAAAUUUAAGAAUCAAUUGGAAUUUUUUUUUGCCAUAUUUUAUAUAAUGAAUCAACUAUAUUAAUAUGACAACUAUUUAUUUAUUUUAAAAAAAUAAUUAUAUUUAUCCACUAGAGUUUUCUCAUUCUAUUUAUUGAUAUAUUACUUGUAUUAAUUGGUAAUAUCACGUUAUCAACGCUAUAUGAUAUCACUAUUGCAUUGAAGAUUUACUCAUUUGGUUGUGUUACAAUCUACUUUCUAUUCAGAUUUUUUGUCCUUUUUAAACUUUUUAAAAAUUUAUCAAAAGGUUUUGAGAAAAUAUAAAAAAAAUAUAAACUUCCGACCAAAUAUCUCAAAGACACCUGAACGUUAUUUUUUUUAAUUAAACACCUAAACUUUAAAAUUUGUUAUCAACUAGACCAUUAAGCUCAAAUUCUAUCAAAAAUUGAAUGACACAAUCCAUGUUGGAGCUUAGCUAGCCACACGUGAUCCCGUGGAGCUGAUUUCAAAACUCUAAAACUUUGGAGGCUUACAUUGUUGCUCUAUCAAAUGUCACACCAUAUUCAAUUGGAUCCACAAUCUAAUUACAAUAAUUAAUUCAACGAUAAUUAAGUGUAAAAUAACCCUAAUUUUAUUAAUCACUCCAUUUUCAAAGUAUUAGAGUUUUCAAGUUAGCACUACAUGUUGUCAUCUAAGCGCCAACAUAGGUUAUUCCAUUCAAUUUCGAACGAAAUUUAAAUUCAGGAGUCUAAUUGACUUCUAAAUUCUGGUGUUUAAUUGAAGUAUUUUAAAGUUUAUGUUUUUUGUAAGACAAUUGAUAAAAAGUUCAGAUUUUUUUUAUAUUUUCCCGAGUUUUUCUUUCAAUUCUUCUUUGAUAGAUGAAUUGUAGAAGUAAAAACUAAUAAUUAUAUUGUAAAAAAAUUAAUUAAUAACAAAUCAACAAAAAAUAAAAGAGACUAUUCUAACGUAUUUUUUAAUAUUUUUUCAAUAUACAAACAUUUUUACUUUUUGAAUUUCUUACUUAUUUUCUUAAAAUUUCUUAAAAUUAUGUGUCCAUUAGAAGUUAAUGACAAAAAUAUUGUGCAUAUUUGUUGCAAUUUAUAAACACCGACUUCAAUUUUUUAUACACAUUUACUCUUUUGUGUUACCACACAUCCCUUUUCACUUUUAGAAAGUUAAGACAUGUAAAUGAACAGUCUUAUUUGAAGUUUGUAUAUAGAUUAACGGUCAAUCAAUAACAAUUUAUAUAAAGAUGAAUACAUAUAAUUUUGUAUAGCAUACUCAUUUAUUAAUUUAUAAAACAUAAUUGAACUGUGUUCGAUCAACAUAAUUUUUGCAAUAUUGAUUUUUGGAAUGAAAUUUACAAUACAAACGAUGCGAAUUAUCAAAUUAGACUCCAAAUAGAAGACUAUAUUUUUCAGUACAUUUAUUUGGAUUUCAAAGAAACCAUAUCCUAAAGUAAAACAUAUUUAGUUGAAAAGUUAAUUACAGUUACUAUUCGUCUUUUGGCGUUUGGAAACCCGCGACUUCUGGAACAACAUUGCUUGUCAAAAGUUCUUAUCCACACUGCUUUUGGACUUCGGGGUGAGUGUAAAAUCCAUUAAAGCAACAACCAAUCUUUACCUAAUCAUUAGUUUAAUCAAAGGUGGGCAAAUCCAAAAGCCACUUUUUAAUAAGCCUUUAUUAAUUACACUCUAGCUGUCAUUUUUUAGGAGGAUUUGCUUCUCUUCUUUUCAUCUCCUAAAGUUUAGGUUUACUCAUCUGUCAUCUCUUAUUUUAAUGGGAUAUAACUUUGUAUAAAUCUGUGUUUUAAUUAAAAAUUUGAUAAAAUAAAAAAAAUAAGAAUAAAA